GCUGGCCUAGUGGUUAGAACGUCCGCCUCGGAUAUGGAAGGUCGCGGGUUCGAAACCCCGGCUGAAUCA